GAGAGGUUUUUUAAAGGGGGAAAAAAAAAAGAAAGGAAAAGAGAAGACGAGCAUCGUAUUUCAAAGAUCCAAGCGGUUUCGCGCGUUCCUCAUUUUUAUGAUCGAGAGUGUCGGUAUCGAGGGAAACAAUGAGACGAGGGAUCAUACGAAUGUUUCUACGAAAACUUGGCGAGGUGCAACUUUCUUCUUUCGCUAUCCGCUUCGAUAAACCCGGACGGGGAACGAUGGAACACAAAAUUCGCUAAGACGAAAGGCGUCCGUCGUUGUUACUGACCGUUCGCAAAAGGAUAAAAGAAGAAACAAAAAACAGGAGAAGAAAAAAGGAGCUGAAAAACAAUGGUCCAUCGCGUAUGGAAGAAUAAGAGAGAAGAGGAAAGAUCCGAACGAUGACGUAGGAGGAGAGAGAAAGGGAUAUUUAAUGUAGCAGCAUGCUUGGAGCUCGCGUUGGCGAGGGUGAGAGAGGGAGAGAGAGACAGGAAGAGAGAGAAGGGGAGAAGAAAAAGAGAAAGAUAUAGUGGUACAAGGAGAGGAGUGGGAGCAGAGCCAAGCUGUCUGCUGACUCUCGCGAUCUCCGAGUGCCGAGGAGGCGAGCGCUCCUACGACGACAUUAAGUAAUAUCUCGAAGUCCUUUCUUCGAACGGCUUCAACACAGCCACACGACGUGCCGCCGACUCGUUUUUCAAGGACAAUGGAUUUAUCCGCGAACGCAUUCGCGCGGAAAAGGCGUCACGCUCGCAUUCCACACGUUGCAGCAUUAUGCCAACAACGUCAAAAGAGAGGCUGCUGUUGUCGCUGUUCUCCGGUCUACCUACCGACGUUUUAACGAACGACCUGCGAAAAAGCGUCCUCGAGAUAAUAACGUCACUUGAGAUCUUCUAGCGCGACCUCUCUCUCUCUCUGCACCCUAUCCUCCCCUAUCGUUUUCUAUCUCACAAGUCUAGCCGAGUCAAGGUACUCAGGGAUAAUAAUGAGAUCUAGGAAACUUCGCGCACACGAUCGUUCGAUUAUCAUUUCUACAUAAAAGAGGAGGAUACGCGCUUGUGGCGCAAAGUCAUCGACGCGGAGGGAGGAGGAUCGACAGGAGCAGGAGCAGGAGCAGAAGGAGCAGGAGUAGCAGCAGCAGCAGCAACAGCAGCAGCAGCAGCAGAAGCAGCAGCAGCAGCAGCAGCAACAGCGAGCACGUCAUCGUCCAAAGUAAUCUGGUCCGUGAGAAGAGAUACUAAACGGACAACGACGAAGAUGACGACGAAGACGACGAUGAUGAUAAGACGAAGGAAGUGGGUCGAAGUGGGAUCUUGGACGAAGAUAAAAAUGAGAAAGAUAUUCGGAAAAACGAGAUAGAUAGAUAAAUAGAUAGACAGAUAGAAACAGAGAAAGACAGAGGAGAUAGAGAGAGAGAGAGAGAGAGACAGAAAGGAUUCUUCCUACCGUCCGCCAUCCUCCCGUUAUAUUAUCCUCUUCCUCUCGUACUCGCAAACGCGUUAAAAAUCGUUCGCUCACCUAACUCUCUUCAAUCGUAAGUCCGUAGUACGAGCAGCCACGACAUCUCAACGAGUCCCGUACACCGCAAACUCGUAAGCUCACUCUCUCGCACUCGUAGGCACACUCAGUACCACCACUGUAAACUUCUCUCUCUCUCUCUCCCUCUCUCUCUCUCUCUCCCUCUCUCUCUCCCUCUCUCUCUCCCUCUCUCUCUCUCUCUCUUUCUCUCUCUCCACGCGAAUCUCCCACGGGCCGAAUGUAAAAAGCGCGAAAAGGCACUUUCGAACGAGCGAGAAGGAACUCGGUGGUGGUAUUCCUCUUCUUCUUAUUACUCUUCGUUUCUUUUCUUUUCUUCUCUUGUGUCUUCUUUUUUUAUUCGAAAAUCUUCGAGAGUCUCAAUUAUUUAUAUUCCACUCCCUUUUCCACGGAGCAGCAGCAUGCUACUACACAACUAUGGGUUUCCAGCCGUCGUCUCUCCACAGGUAUCUCUCUCUCUCGCUCUCCCUCCCUCACUCCCGCCCUCCCACCCUUCCUUCCUCCUCUUUCUCCCGUUCUCCUCCUUCUCGGCCUCCUCCUGCCCCCACACCCACCGAUACACACUGGCACGCACGUCGGUUAUACUCCUCUGCGAGUCGAGCGAGCGAGCGCUCGAAUCGUAUAUCGCGAGUCAAGAGUCGUAACGACGAACCUGUCGUAUCCGCGAUUCCUACGUGUCUCUCUUUCUCUUUCUCUUUUUCUAUCUCUAUAUCUGUCUCUAUCUAUCUAUCUAACGCGUUUUCACCUGCGUCCGUAUAAAUAUAGAUGCGUAAGUCGAUCCGACAGCCCGAGUUUCACCGCGACGUGUGACGACAUUCGUAAAUAAGAGGGAGAAAAAGAAAGAGAGAGAGAGAGAGAGAAGGAGAAAUAUAUAUAUAUAUUAUAUAUAUAUAUAUAUAUAUAUAUAUAUAUAUAUAUAAAGAGAUCGACAUAAACGUAUCUCUCGAAAACAAUCGUAACUUUAAAAUCGCGAUCUUAGAAAUUUGUCGAGAACGAAAAACGAUGACGAUACUUCGUCACGAAGCAAUGUGUCGAGAGCUGCGGCCCCUCCGAUCCAACCUACUCAGGCCCGUUCGCCAACAGCUUCGUCCUCCUCUUCCCCUUUUCCUUCUCUUCGCUACUCUACUCUGCUCUUUCUCUCCCUCCUUCCUUCCUUGACCACCUCGGUUGCCGCCGGCCGGCCCACCGAGCGGAUCCGAUCCCCUCCGUUGAAAAACCCUCCCCGGUCCUCUCGGCGGCCCCUCGCCGUCUCCGACAAGACCAAUCGUCUCAUCUUCUUUCUUCGACCACCGACUCUUCUCCUCUCUGUCUCUUUCUCUUUUUCUCUUUCUUUCUAACACUCCUUCAAAAUCUUCUCUAUGGUAUCGGCCAAACGUUUUACGGAUGAAUCAUCUCCUCUUUAACUUAAUAUGUAACAUGGUGAAUAUGAGAUCGAGUUACAUUCUUCAAAAUAUCUGAGCUACUAAAUACGUGAAAACAUUUAUCUUGUAUUCGAUCAAUUACGUUUGUUUCUAAUCGUUUGUGUUUUGACAAUAAUUCACAAUUUUUUAUUUGUAAUUUGUAAUAACUUUUUAUUUGUAUUUUCUUUUCGUAACGUCGACGUAAAAGUACUUUCUUCCUCUUUGUUUUCUUUCCAGAUAUAGUUUUUAAAUUAAGAAGUGAUCUCUAUCCAUUCAUAGAUGGCGCGUUCAGCAUUUUCUAUGUGUACACGGAGAAAGUUAUAGAGUCUUCCAUCUAGGUUGCUUUCCUUUGUAUGGCGCUGUUCUAUGAAUCAGUUCAGUAUGACUAAUGCCAAUCUCUAAACAACGGUACUAUUGCUUUUAUGACGCCUACUUAUAUCGAGCUUAUAUUCGACGAAUUAUCGUCCAAGUGUGGAUGUGACGAAGGAGUAAGCAUUGUGUGCUUGUGAAGAUUCAUAAUUUCAUAAAUUUUCGUUCGACAUGAAGCGUUGUAACCUAGCCGAGAUAUUUGCAGAAGGGAAUUCUAUUAAUAAGAUAAUUCAUAAUAAUAAAAACAAUGUUAGCGAUUCGUCAAAUAAAGGAAGUAAUGAAGAAAAUUACAAUCGGAGGAAAUAUAUACUGCCAGUUGUAAUCGAUUGACUAUUCCUAAAACUCGUGAAUGGAAGCGUAUUUGCAGAGUUCUUAUGCAGAAAAACCUUUUGCACAGGAAAAUUCUUUAUUCUAAAGAAUACUAGAAACUGUAAAAUAUCAAUUUUUGAAAUAGUUAACCUAUAGGUUUUAUUCGUCAUAUUUCCUGUGGAAUUUCUUAGAAUAUAAGUUGAUUCAUUUAUUAAUUAUUAAAAAGUUUCAUUAUUUAUCAUUGAAUACAUUUAAUUUGUUAUAAUGCCAAAGAUUUUAACAUAUUAUAACUGUUUUAAUUACUUAACUUUUACAACAAAUAAGAACAGAAUUAGCGAAGUUGUUAGAUUGUUCGUAGUAAUAAGAGAAUGAGAUUUAUAAGAUUGAAAUGUCUAAUGAAAGAUAGUGUAACAGAUUUCUCUCUAUUCAAGUGAAUUAAAGUUUUAAUUGUAAUUAUAGUUCUUUGUUUUUUCUACUAUUUCAUAUCUAAUAGGAACAAUAUUUUUAAAGGUUAAUAUUGCCUAUUUUAUUUACAAUCUUUAUACUUUGUUACAUGAUUUUACAAUGAUCUUUUAAUCUUGCACAAAUAUAAUAUAUAUUAUAUAUAUAAUAUAUAUUAUAUAUAUAAUAUAUAUAUAUUAUAUAUAUAUCAUCAAGUGAUAAUAAUAAUAAUAACAAUAAUAUAUACCCAUAUUAUAAUACAUAUUUUAUAUAUGAGAAACAAAGUACAAUAUAUUAAAUAUGAAACUAUCUACAAAUGCAUACUACUUAUUUUUAUACGUAUGUAUACUGGAUAUAAUAUAGGAGAUUGUAACAUGGAACAUUUGAUAAAAUGUUUAAAAGCACUUAAUAAAUCAAUAUUUAUCAUAAUGUAAAUGCAAUCAGAGAUCACAAUGAAUGAUCUCAAUGAAAAUUGCAAAAUCUGUGUGCCUUAAUCUAAGACGAUUUAAUUCCUUUAAAUGAAAUAAUUAAUCUAAUAUAUUUCAAACUCUUUUGCAUCAUGUGCACUCUUAUUAUUCACUGCAUUAAUGACAACGUACUGAGUCUUGACAUUAUUAUAAUCAGUUUUGAUAAUGAUUUAUUAAAUACAUCCUUACAAUAAAAGUGUAUUUCAUAAAUAAGCGUUAACAAAUUUCAUUGAUGGAUCCAAAAAGAAUAAGAGAAAAAAUAUCAAAAUAGGUAACAAUAGAUUAUCAAAUUAAUAGGUUAGAUAGAUAAAACCAACAAUGAAGAUUGUACAUAAGUUAAAAUUAACAAAGAUAUGAUAAAAAAGUAUACGUUUUCGCGAGAUCGUUAAAAAUAUUUGAUUAGGUUAUAUUAAAUAGUUUAAAAAAAAAUGAGUAAAUUUUUAAGUAUUUAAUUCAUAAACACUUUCCUAAUAAUAAUGAUAAUAUUAUGAUGAUAAUAAUAAUGAUAUUAUUAUUAAUAAUAAUUACCAUUAUUAGAAAAGUGAUAUAUAUAUGUAUGUUUUUAUGUACUUAUUUUACAUGCUGCAUCUUGUUCAAAGAGUUUUUUUAUUUUUUUCUUUUUUUAUUUUUUAAACAUUCACGUUUUUUCGAAUUUAUAUUAGAAUUCGUUUGGAAUAGUAUAUACGUGUAGGUAAAUCGAAAAAUUGUCAACUUCGUAGAUCUAAUUUUGUCAACCGCACAUUUCUACUAAUUAUAUUAUACAUUUGAAAAUAAUUCUUCUUCAGCCUGUACCCGACAGAUCUAAACAAUCUCUAAACUAAGCUUAUUAGAAAGUAGACAAUUUUUGGUAUUAUUUCAACGUAUUAUUAUUAUCAUCGUCAUCAUUAAUUUAUAAUAAUAAUAAUUAUUGUUGUUAUUAUUAUUAUUAUUAUCAUUAUUGUUGUAAUAGUAAUAAGUAGUAAUUCGCUUGAUACUCUAAUCGUCUUCUUAAUAUAAGUCAUACGAUAUUAUUAUAUGAUAUAUGUCUAUAACAUCGAGGAUUAUUGAAAGUUGAAGGAUUUUUUCUUAUCUAAUCAUUCUUUUAUCCGUGACACGAAAUUUGUUAGUUUGUUUGAUAGGAGAAGUAAGGUAAUAAAUUUUUCAAAUCGACGAUCAUUAUUAUUAUCAUGUUUGUUAACUGUUGGUUUAAUUUUCGAUUAUGGCACCAUAGGCAUUUUGUCGUUAUAUUUCUUUUUUAUUUUUAUUAUUUUUUUUUUUAUUUUUUUAUUUUUUUUUACACAUCAUUUUAUAAUCACAUACAUACAUCAAAUGGAAUAUGAUUCUCUAAGAAUUCUUAUUGAUUAUCAUUCUUUUUGUUUUUUUGUUUAUAUAUCGGGUAACCUUAAUGAAUGAAUAUAUGAAUCAAAUGAAUUGACUUAAUAUCGAGUUUAUGAGUUUUUGAAGUAUGUAUGUUUGUAUUUAUGUAUAUAAGCUAAACACGUGCGUAAAUGUUUUGUGACAUUGUUGUUUUUGUUAUAUCGUUAGCACGAAUUUUUUCAUCGUUUUAAUCUAAUCAUUCUUUCAAACAAUCUCUCCUCGUAGCUUUAAGAGCCUUAUUAGGAUAUUUCGUUCUUUUUUAUUUUAUUUUAUUUUUUAUUAUUUCGUAUAUAUGUAUAUCGUACAUAAAUAACUCGAAGGAUUUAUAAGGUUAAACUCUUAAAAAUAAAUGGAAUGCACCGUUCAACAGUACAUAAAACAUAGUAGAUUACAACGAUCCCGAGAUUUUUUAUGUUUUAGUUUUUGUAUCAUAUCGUUGCGACAUCGUAUAUAGUGAACUUUGCAAAUUCGUUAAUUUUUUAAUUAUAUUUAUUUCCUUUUUUUUGUAAUUAUUUUCACUUGUUCGUUUGCUUUCCUUUUUCUUUUUUAAUUUAUUUCUUCCUCUCCUUAAUCCUAAUCACUUUGAUUUAUCUUCUAAGCAUUCUCAUGAAUAACGUAAAAGAACUUUUAACAUUUCUCUGACAUGUUGAUUGGUAGAGUUUUUUUUUAUCGUUAGACAAAAGAGAACGAAUAGAGUAUGUUGAGAACAAUUACAUUAUUUCAAUCUUGAAAAUAUUUCUUUUCUUUUCUUUUUUCGUUUGUAAGUCCACCAAAAAUGCAAAUUUAAUUAGACAAUGUUGUAAUUUAUAAUAAAUUUACUAUCUUGAAAUGAUAACAUAAAAGAACGACGUUUAAUACGAUUUCUUUCUUUGCUUCAAGAUUAGAGAAAUGAGUUAUAUUAUAUUCGCUAACAAUAAUAAUUAAUAAAUGAAUUAAUUAAGUAAUACACAUAAAGGAAGUGCGAUGUAAGGGAAGAACGACUUAAGUGCUUAAUAUUAUUAUUAUUUUUUGUUUUCUUUUUUUUGUUUCUCUCUUUUCUUUUUUCAAUUCUCGAAAAAAGCACGAGCGUUUAGAAUCUAGAGAAAGAAAAGCGAAAAGAGUUGUGUGUUGUGUAUUGUAAUAGUAAUUAGAAGAAGAAGAAGCACAUAAUAAUUCCAUCACGGACGAUUUGAUUAAGUACGCAAGUGUCUGUGACUUUAAUCGUUAGGAAAGAGAUUAUUUAUCAUCAUCAUCAUCAUCAUCAUCAUCAUCAUGAUCUAUCGAAAUGUAGCUAUUAGUCAGUAGUUUUCUUUCUCUUAGUCAAUGGAUGACUACCAUUUAGUUGGUCCUGUACCACUGCUUACUCCAGUUGUUGAUGCUAUGAAAGGAUUCGUCGAAGCAGCUAGGAGGAAAAAUUUAGUUAGAUACAAGAUUUAGUCUAUCUUCAUUAAGAGAAUGAAUCGAAUAUUGUAAUAUAUAUAUACUAUUAUUAUAUGUAUAUAUAUAAAAGAGGUAUAAGCAACUUAAAAAGGGAAAGCUCGUGUGGAUGAGAUAAAGGUUGUAAUCAAUAUAUGCAAAUUACGACUAAGUCUGUUUAAAGCUGUGCCUUUAUAAGAUUUCUCCUUAUGUACAAAAUAAAAGUGGUUUGUAACUACUACUAGGAAUGAUUAAUUAAAUCAAUUUUCUUUUUAAUGGCAUAAAAAAUGUCAUGUAACUUGUAUUUUAUCUUAAAAAAAAUUAAAAGUGACCAAGAAGUAAAUUAUUAAAAGAAUGAUUAAAAGUUGUUGCAUUUGAUAUAAUUUUAUGGUAAUUCUCAUAACAUUAAUUAUUUUAACGUUAUUAGAAAGAAUAUAUAUAAUUACAUGCAAAAAAGAACAGUUUUCUAUCGAUAAUUUCUUUGGCAGCGAUAGUUCUUGUAAUAAUGCUAGUACUAGUACAAUCUAAAUACAGAAAGUAUUCCGAUAUACAUUUUGUUAUAUAUUAUUUAUAAAAGUCAAUUGUGUAUUUAAAUACGUUAAAGAUAUAGAGAAUAUUCAAAUGCAUAAAUUAUCGCUGACCAAAGGUAGAAGAACAAGACAAAGAAAAUAAGUACAAAUAAAAUGCGAAGAAUUGCAAAAAUGAUAAAAAAAUUAAAUGUUUUUUUGGUUCGUUUUAAUUCGCCCUUGUUCUCUGACGGAUUAAAAAAUAAUAAUAAUCAAAAUUUAUUAUACAUAUUUACAUAUAAUUAAGGAGAACUUAUAUAUGAUGAUUACGCAUUAAGAAAUCAUUUCUAUUUAUAAAUACAUAAAUCAAAAAAGCCGCGGAGAGAGGAAAGAAAAAAUUUAAAUAGCCAAGUAUGUACGUACGUCUACAGUAAGAGAAUAUAAACGCAAACGAAAUCGUGUAUAUGAAUAUAGAGAUAAAUAAAUUCAGGCAAACGUAUACGUAAACACAAUCACCAAACAAUUAAAAAAUGGAAGCAGCAGUUAACGAGAAAAUUAAUUAACAUAUAUAUCAUUAAAUUAACACAAGAGGUCUUCAGUGAUAAUUAAUCGACCAUAUUUUCCGUACGAUUACAUACAUCAUUCGAUAAUUUUUCAUUAUUAUUGUUAUUACUAAUUUAAGGUUAUAUCAAGUAGUUGAAAUAUUUGAUUCUAUGAUCUGUAAAUAAUCAAUUCACGAUUUUCCGAAAUCUAUUCACUUGUAAUUUCAUGAUAAACGUACUGCUUUGUUUACUCUUUUCUCUUUAUAGGACUCCUUGUGUCGGAUAGAAAAAAAAAAAAAAAUAAUAAUAAUAAAAAUACAAGCGCAUGUGUUUGGCAUCGACGACAAGACUCGAGCUUCUAUUCCGAUCUGGAAUUUAUUUUGUGCAAUACUCGGAAGAGUACACUCAACUUUUCAAAUUUGUGCUAUUCACGUCACACAUUAUGACUUUAAAAAGUUUAGAUGGAAGAUAGAAGAGUCUUGUUCCUUAUUUGUCGCUCAUUUAUCCUCCUUUUCUAUUAUCGAAUGAUACAAGAAAAAGAGGCAUAUCAAAAGUGCCAACAUUAACUUCGUGCUAAGUAAAGGCUACUUUUUGCGUCUAAACUUAAGAAGUUGAAAUACCGGUAGUAUAAAUCACACGAUCUCCGCCACUGUUCAAGUUCGUACUCUCGUUCGCUGGUGCUGAAGAUGGAGGUGGUGGCAUGGCAAAAACUUGUUGGGGAUUAGAAGUUGCACCCUGCGAUGCGCCACCCUGAGGUUGAACGGUCACUGGUUCUUCGUCACUUUCUUCCUCCUGUCGAAAAGAAAUAUUUCAGUUUUCUUUGAAAAGAGAAGAACUUACCUUUGAGAACUUUAAGGGUUGACUUGUCACAACAUCGACUUCCGGAUUCUGGUCCCGCUAUAAUACAACAACAACAUAAACAAAACCGCUAGUCUAUGUAUGCCUUUCUGCAAAACUAAGCAGAACCUCACAUGCUCGGCAAUGGAAAAUGUUCGCGUGCAAUGUACAAAUAGUGCCGGUUUGCGAAUAACAAGCAUAAUCAAGUAUGAUGUUUUACUCGUUAAAUAAAAUGUAUCUACCUCCAUGAAGAUGAAAUAUAAAAAGAUGAAAGUGUGA